rnacentral:rRNA from 1 species
AGCCGUAGCGAAAGCGAGUCCGAACAGGGCGGUUGAGUCGCAUGACCAAGACCCGAAGCUGAGUGAUCUACCCAUGGCCAGGUUGAAGCGCGUGUAAGAGCGCGUGGAGGACCGAACCCACUUCAGUUGAAAAUGGAGGGGAUGAGCUGUGGGUAGGGGUGAAAGGCCAAUCAAACUCGGAAAUAGCUGGUUCUCCGCGAAAUCUAUUUAGGUAGAGCGUCGACCGAAUACCCUCGGGGGUAGAGCACUGGAUGGGUGAUGGGGGCCCACAGCCUUACUGAGCCUAACCAAACUCCGAAUACCGAGGAGCACUAUCUGGCAGACAGACGGCGGGUGCUAACGUCCGUCGUCGAGAGGGAAACAACCCUGACCUCCAGCUAAGGCCCCUAAUUCACGGCUAAGUGGGAAAGCAGGUGGGACGACCAAAACAACCAGGAGGUUGGCUUAGAAGCAGCCAUCCUU